ACAGCAGUCGCCGCGGGAAUACAGAGGGUGCGAGCGUUAAUCGGAUUUACUGGGCGUAAAGCGUGCGUAGGCGGCUUUUUAAGUCGGAUGUGAAAUCCCUGAGCUUAACUUAGGAAUUGCAUUCGAUACUGGGAAGCUAGAGUAUGGGAGAGGAUGGUAGAAUUCCAGGUGUAGCGGUGAAAUGCGUAGAGAUCUGGAGGAAUACCGAUGGCGAAGGCAGCCAUCUGGCCUAAUACUGACGCUGAGGUACGAAAGCAUGGGGAGCAAACAGGAUUAGAUACCCGAGUAGUCCCUGUCUCUUAUAC
rnacentral:rRNA from 1 species